UGGGGAAUAUUGCACAAUGGGGGAAACCCUGAUGCAGCGACGCCGCGUGAACGAAGAAGGUAUUCGUAUCGUAAAGUUCUGUCCUAUGGGAAGAUAAUGACAGUACCAUAGAAGAAAGCUCCGGCUAAAUACGUGCCAGCAGCCGCGGUAAUACGUAUGGAGCGAGCGUAGUCCGGAAUUAUUGGGCGUAAAGGGUACGCAGGCGGUUUAAUAAGUCGAAUGUUAAAGAUCGGGGCUCAACCCCGCAAAGCAUUGGAAACUGAUAAACUUGAGUAGUGGAGAGGAAAGUGGAAUUCCUAGUGUAGUGGUGAAAUACGUAGAUAUUAGGAGGAAUACCAGUAGCGAAGGCGACUUUCUGGACACAAACUGACGCUGAGGUACGAAAACGUGGGGAGCAAACAGG
rnacentral:rRNA from 1 species